rnacentral:misc_RNA from 1 species
UCUCUCUCUCUCUCUCUCUAUCUUGGCUUCAGUUUUCAAGAUCAAUCUACCACUAUGUCUGCUCUUCUUGUUUGCCUUCUCAUAUGUUUUUUAAUGCAUGCAUGCAACGCUCGCCACAUAGGCCUCAGUGCCAAGGAAACUCGGAAACAAGACUUUGCCAAGGAUGCACAUAAAGUUAAUUUAUGUGAGACUUCAGUUUCAUCAGAAAUGACCCCUCCAAUUCCAGAGGAAUUUGAAGCAAAAGAACGAGAAAAAGUUGGUAAGAUAGACAGGAGGACGAUCCAUGAAAAUUUUCUUGGAACAGGAACUUAUCCGAAGAAUGUAGAGGCCCUUUUUAAGGAAGAAGAAGGCACAAAAAAAGCGCCUUCAGGCGCAGGACAUGAGCUUAUUGUAUCUUCUCAGAGCCAUUUGCAACAGAUCAUUAAAAUAGAGGUGAAUAAAAUACUCCAUAAUUUUAAAUAAUCAGAAUGGUGGUUAUGGUUGUUAGGGUUCUGGUGAGGUGGUGAGAAAGAAUCAUGGCCCAUCUUCUUUGCGAUGUCGUUAAUGAGGAUGGCAUCAGCAGAUGGUCUGCGCAUGCAACAGUUAUAUAUGAUACGCUUGAAUAUAUAUAUGUUUUGACGAUUCUAUAUUCAUAUAAAGCAUUUAAGAAAUGAUAAGAAAGUGAGGGUAAUGUAAUUUGAUAUCUGCUUCUUGUGUAGGGCUCAGCACCAAGUGAUACCAAAAAAGCUUUAGAACUGAGCGAAAAUGGCAUCGUGGAAGACGCGGUAGUCAUGGAUUAUGCACAGCCCCAUCGAAAACCUCCUAUCCACAAUGAAAAACCCUAGAUCAAUAUUUUCUCACUUAUUGUAUAGUUAUUAUAUUUUGUUUUCUUUUGUUCUGUUAUCGUACCCCUUUAAGUUCUCCUUCUAAUGAGAAUAUGUUUCAUAAGAAAUGCCAUACGAUGUAAGGUAAAGAAAAACAACUAUUUUCCAAGAUCAGUACUACUCGUCUUAUUAUUAUCGUCAGCAAUAAUAAGAAUGGAACGUUCCUAGACCAACACUAGAGAUUUCAUGUUAAUAUCUCUAGAUGGUUGCCCGAUUGGUUCGUUUGCUAAGUCAAUAUAAUCGUGACUCGUCCAGUUAUUACAUAGAGUCCGGCGUAGGAAGAUGGUGAAUGGAUGGAUGAUAGCCUCAUUCGUUGUAUUCAGGCUUCCAUAUUAAUGAGAGUGAAUAAAUGGGGACGCACUAGAUAUUGAUGUAUUGCCAUGGUUGAAAAUAUGUUGGAUGUUGUUCCUAAACUGAACUAGCAGGGCAAUUAUUAGUUCACUUUCGGCUAGCGUUUCUAAUCAAUUGUUGGUUUGCUAACUUGUUUUAUUUGGUAAACAAACUUGCUGAAAAUCAACCGGUUACCGGCGACAAAGGUUGAACACGCAUGGUAAAAGCUACAGAUAAGCAGCUAUGCCUUGAAGCUCAAUAAAGAAAAAGCUCAGUACCUUGUGGAGAUGCAAAAAUCAGGUGUUUAACUCGUUCAAACGAUAUGUACUGCCCAAAAAAAUCAGUAGAUUGUAUUCCUGCCAAUGCCAUAUCAUCUGAUAAUCACAAUAAUGAAUGUGUAUAAAUAUCCAAUACAGAUCUUCCAAUUUAAAUUCAGUGCCUUGGAAAAUACCAACAAAAGAAAAUUAUGCAAAUAAAAAAUUUCUUCUCCAAAGAUUUCUAUCCUGAAAAGCCCGAGUUUUCCACAACAUAUCUUGAUGAAAAUGCUAAUUCCUCAUCUAUUGGUCUAACAGCCUUGUCCUUUUCAUGUAGUCCAAAAAAGGUUUCAUUUGGGUUAAUCAUGCGCUACUACAUCCAACAAUGAAAGGUUUAACAAAAUUGAUAAAUUCUGAGGUAUUUAUCCCAAGCUUCAGAUCUACCUCCCCACCACCCAGCCAGAAGAAAUCAGGAUUCAGCCUUACAAUCGCUUCAUCCAAAAUAACCUGAGAUCAAAACAUCCUCAAUCCAAUUAACUACAGUACAAUAAUAAAAAGUAAUCAUCUGUCUAUUUCUAAAUUAUCUGCCUGUGCGUGCACAUGUGCAUGUCCAUAUUUGCAUGAACGUAUGGAAUUUAUGGGUGCAUUACACCUCCGAUCAAGCAAAGUUAUCUGAUAUUCACACCCAUUUCUUGCAUUUUCAGCUCCUGUUGGUAGCUCAGAGUACUAGCAUCACUUUCCCUUUUCCCAGUGAGAAUUCUUUCUGCAAAUUUCUAACAUUUCAAAAACUCCUCUAAAGGCACAUUCAAUUGUGUCCCCUACACAAAUGCACGGGCAAAAUCACAGACAUACAUACAAAUCAAACUAACUUUUGCCCUUGAGACAUACAGCUAGCUCAGACUCAGUUCUAAGUGAGCCAAACAUUUUUUUCUAGCGGCAGACUGGCAGCAAACCAUUUAUCUUGACCAUCAAUGCAGUGGACCGCCAUAUUAAAAUUCCAAUUUGACAGCUAUAAUACUUGAAGAAAUGGACCACCCAAUAGCUGGCAUUGCAGUCGAGGACUUGAUUAACCAAAAAAAAAAAGAUAUCAUUUCUGAUACAACAAAUAUUAAGGAGAAUUCCAUUUCUUCCCCAAAAUUUAUCAGAAUCUCAUUCAUUGGAAUCUGUGUAUAUAAACCAGCCACAUUAGUCAUGAGCAAAGACAAGGAUAGGUAUCUGCCUAGGCAAUUAAACCUCAUGGGCCAACUUGUUCAUGCUGCUCCAAGUAAGACAGGACCCUGUAGUUGUACUGUCUGGAAAACAAAUGUCAAGUGCACACGUACAGCAAGAAGACCUUAAGAAAGUUUCAGAAUGAGCAUCUUAAAAAGGUCAUAUGUCUAGACUAGCAGAUUAACCAAUAUUUCUAGGUGGAAGCUCCAUCCCAAUUCUCUUUUCUGUAACUUGCAUUGCACUUUACAGCUUUCAAAGAUUAAAAACUUACAGGAAAUUAUGGAUGUUUGAGGAGACAUCAAACAUAAAAGAAGUCCAAUAAAUAAUUGGAAUAUUGGAUAUAAGCAAAUAAACAUUUACACUUAAAUGAUUUGAAAUUUGAAAAGCACACAAUCAAUUUGAGAGGUAAAUGCAGCUAGGAUAAUUUCAUUUUUAUAGAAUGUGUAGACACUACCCAAAUAAUUGCAGUUAGAGUACUUACAGGUAUCUCAGUUUUCAUGCCAAUACAUGUCACUGCAUUGUGCUCAUAUCCAGUCAACUUUGCAGAUGUCUCCUCAGGAGCAAGCCUCAAGUUGAAUUUCUUUUUUGCUAUCUUGCCAUCGUUGAGCGUAUACAGGUAGUUUUUAACAGUUUCAGCAUUGAACCGAGCAGUGUACUGAACAACAACAAUGUAAUACUUUGAAUUCUUGAAAUCACUGCAAUCAAUGAUAUCCGAUGGAGCCUGUGUAUUAACCAGGACGAUGCUUUUGCAGAGGUGAUCAACGGAGGCGGCACCCAGAAUGUCCCGUCGGGCUUCAAGAGACCAGUCGUAGUAAUCUGAGGGAACCCUUUUAAAGGAGAAGUCAUGGACACCAUUGGAUCGGAGAAUUGCGGUGAGGCAAGCUUCAGUGUCGUCGCCGGCGGCUGUCCUGCAACAGUUUGCGUCGGGGGAGUAUACAGAUGCGGAAGCAGAGAGAUUGUUUUGAGGAAGGAAAG